rnacentral:lncRNA from 1 species
UUGUAUGCAAAUUUAAUUCAAAUUUUGAGCAUGGGAACUUUUAAAAUUAUGAAAUUAAGUGGGAUUCCAGGUAUAAAAGAGUGGAUGACAUGUUAAAUCCUCCUUCCUUGGUCAUAAAGAAAGUGGGAUUCCAGGUAUAAAAGAGUGGAUGACAUGUUAAAUCCUCCUUCCUUGGUCAUAAAGGUAAGGCAUAACUGCCCAUUAACUCUACAACAUUGACCAAAACGAGCGUAUAUAAAUACUUCUCUCCUAAAAAAAAUGGGAC